ACACCACUGAUAAGCUCCACAGCGAAGGACGCAGAGCAGCUUUGGCCAGAACAAGAGAUAGGCCUGACAAAGCGCAGUUUAUGAGAGAUUCCUUGCCCCCUCUGCAGAGAACCAGAGGAACUGCAUCCUAGUAUAGCCAUUUUCCAGUCAUCAAACUGGGACCCAGGAAUGGGAGGAGGAGACUGAGCAGACAAACCACAACUGACUCAAACAUCCCCAGGAGAAGAAGGGGGAAGGUUGUGACAAACGGAGAAGCAAGUGACCAAGACAAAGACAGAUACGUAUGAGUAGAACAGAUGAAGAGGAGGUUGAAGAGAAGACAUGAUUUGUCAUCAAAGAUUAUUGGAAUAUAUGAGAUUUCAGAGAAUAUGUGAUAAAUUCUUUAUGUUCUGGUAGGUGGCACAUAGUGCCCCAUUGUACUGCAUUAGUGAUUUUUUUCUCAAAUGUACUUUAUAUCUCUCAAAAUGAAAUCUUCUUAUGAAAACUGAAUCGUGGGUGUGGUAGCAAAUACAAAAGAAAUAGAGAAGUACUGAAAUCUUUUUAAAAAUGUUUUUUUAAUGAUACAUUUUAUCAUAUGAUGAUUACCUCUGUAGCAAAAUAAAGAAUAUUUAGUUCUGCAACUAAUGAUUAAUUUCAAUAUUAUUUAUUCUGAUGAUUAUCUUCUUGAUUAACUGUUUAGUCAAUAAUAUGUCUGAAAAAGGGGAAAAAGCCAAUCACAAUUUCCUAAAACCCAAGGUGACUUCUUUGAAAUGCUUGUUAAUCUAGCCAACAGUCGAAACCCCAAAGAUGUUCACAUUACUAUCAUAUUGUACAAAUAAAGCAGCAAAUUCUCACAAUUUAGAGGCUGGGACUAGGUAAAGUUUGCCUUUCUUUCUUGAAAAAUUACAAUUAAACAGUUAUCUUGGUUAACAAACUGAUUCAUUUUCUGUUGAAGAGAUAACUCACUAAUAUUUCCAGUUCUAUUUUUGAUAUCACCCAAUCUAUAGCGCUGAUAACACUGAAUAGAGCAAUGAAGUUAAAUAGACUACAAUCAAAAUAUUUACUCACACCUUUCAUACUUAAGUCCAAUAACAUACAUUUAUUUCAAACUUUAAAGUUCUUUUGGAAUGGGGUUACUUUGACCAAGAAAGGUUUAGGAUUACCAACAAGAUGUGUGAUUCCAAUUAAAAAAGAAAAUAAAAAGGAGUAAAUAAAUAAAUCCAAUUUUGCUCUGAAUUCAAAGAGCAAAUGCUGUUUUAUAAUUUGCCAAAACUCUUGUUUCAUUCAAUAAUAGCAAUCCAGUGUGAACUGGCACCACUGUAAUGUAAUAAUCACAGUUUUGGUGCUGUAUCCGUGUUGGUUCCCCAUCAUUAUAGAGUGUGAAGCAGUACUGUACCCUGCCUCAGUACCCAACAGCAGCAGAAUAUAAAGAAUAAUACGAAGUGGAUCCUCCAGUCAUCCCAGUAUCCCAAUCCAAUUCAAUUUCUUAAUUGUUGGGCAAUAUUUGAUUAGUUGACGUGUUGGUCUGCAUACAGUAUUUGGAUACACAGUAACAGCUGAGCUGAUAAUGAGGUCUUAAUGAUUUGUAUGUUUAGUUUGUUGACU